rnacentral:lncRNA from 1 species
UGAUUUUGAAAGAGGCUCAUCCACACCCAUGGAAAGCUGAUGAUUGAUUUUGAUGAUGAGAUGAUGGGAUAAUGACUAGGACAGGCAAUGCUCUACCAAUCAUUGUUCAUCUGAUCUUGUAACCAAGGUACAUACUUUAACUUUGGUCAAUUUGUGCUUGAGAAAUAUAGAAAAGUUAGCUGACCCAAUAACAAUUUGGACUUCAGACACUAAAUAACCAACUGAGUGGCUCACCUACCACUGAUACGCAAACUACUGGCUACAAAGUGAGCUGAAAGACUACAUUAAAUUCAGUCACUGUUUACCGGAAUUCUAGUAAUUUGGCCUUUAGGAUGCAAGAAUAUAGAUAGACAUGGGUGAGAUGUAGCCCUUGUCUUUAAAGAGAUUGCAUCUACCUAUUCCACAAGACGGAAAGUGAUGUUUUUGAAAAGAAAUUUAAGAGAAUGACUAUCAGAAUGAAAGGAGGGAGAAAGAGAAAGAUUUGUUUUCCUUUGAAAGCUACAUACCCAUACCCCUCCAGUGUUUAGGAAGGUUCUGGUUUCUGUAUGCAUGUCUUGAUAUUGGUAGAUAUACCCAUUUUUAUGGAAUUAAGAACAAUUUUAUGACUGUAGUAUAACAGUUUUUUGUUGAUUUCCUUUUCUCUCAAUAUUUCUACUCUUGAACAUUCUCUCUUUUUCCUCUCAAAGUAACAUAUAUAUGAGAUUUUAAAAAGUAUAUGGAAAUGUGUAGUAAGAAAAAGAAUGCAUGGGUUUUGACAUUUUCUUCACUGAAAUAAGCUUAACUUUUAAUUCUAUUUUUCAUUAUAGGUGAAAUACCAGAUUCCACUGCACAUCAGGAAGAUGAGCAGAAUUUAUGUAAUACCCUGGAUUCUGGAAAGCUCAUUAAACUUAAUAAGUAAAGGACAAAAAUAAUUCAUCAGCAUUUGAUGGUUGGUGGUUUGAGGGAUUCUUUGGGUGCUUAGGAUGUUGGAAAAGCAUAUGAGGUAAAAGAACCCAAAAAUGUAACAAAUGUUAAUAAGAAGUAUAAAUGGCUAUUGAAAGCUGAGGAUAUUGAGGAAACAAACCUAUCCAGACUCAGUAUGAAUAUCCAACCAAGUAAGCAAAUGUUUCAAAGCCUUUUACUUUAUUUAUUUACUUUUACUUUAUUUAUUUAGAGAAUUACUUUUUGGGGCAUUUAUAUCCCAUACCUCUUUCAAAUGGUAAAUGUUGAAGAUUAAAUGUUUUGAUUAUAAUAGAACUUAAUUUAUCGAAAGGAAACUUCUUGAAAUUGUGAAAACUCUUCAUGAAGAUUUCUGUCCCUAUUAACAUUAGACUACAUCUACAACGGAAAAAAUCUUAAUGUGUUUAAUGAAGACCAACGUGCAUUUUC